GACAGCGAACACGGCUGGGUGCGGGCAGACUCGUGCUGCGGCCGGCGGCGGCUGUGCCCGGGAAGCACGAGGGCAGCCGGCCGCAGCAGCGCCUGCUUCAGUGCGGAGGCAGCAGAGACCGAGGGCGUGGCGGUGACAAGCUGGUUUUGCGGUGAAGCAGGGAAGCAGGACCACGGGGACGAAAAGGCGAGGAGGAGGGAGAAGGGUUGAGCGGACCCUACAGGCCAGCGCCCGCUCCCCCCAAGGUAGCUUUGGAUUGCUGUGAAGGCAGCUCUCAGAGGGAAGCCAUGGGCAAUAUGCUCAGGAAGGUGGAUGAAGUGAAGACCCUGAAAGUGGAAACUUCUGGGGGCUGUGAAAGGAUACUUCCCUGGACUCCAGCUUCUGCCAGACAACUUGGUGGCAAGUUUAAACAUCUCUGAUGGUAAAGGUGGAUAUUAUUGGAACACAAUGUUAAGCCACAGCAAUUAAUGCCACUCAUAAAUCAGGCAUUCCUUUGCUUGUGUGAAGGCAAACCCUGAGUGUUAUCUGCAGAAGCUAUUAAAGAAUUAGAUAUAAUUAGCUCACGACUCUCCACUGUAAAGGUAAGCAGAAUUGUGCUGGCUUCACCUGUUUGCUUGCUUUUUACCUCACAGCUUUAAUAAAAUAAUUUUUUGGUGAAUCUUUUGCCA
rnacentral:lncRNA from 1 species